rnacentral:ribozyme from 1 species
GCGCGAGUUAUCAACCCAAAUUUUGAGAGAGUUUGAGAAACUUUCUAAAGGGAAAGAUUUCAAAGCUUUCGUGCUUAGCAAAUCUCUAAAUAAAAAAUUGGUAUCUGCAGAUG